AGACGAGACGCUGGUAAAGAAACCUAUCAAAGCUUCAUUACGUUUUCCUUCUUGCUCGCAAAAUGGUCAACGAUUAAGAUUGAUCAUCCUAUUUGCAAAUGGGCUAUGUCUGAACUAGUGAGACUGCUGUCGUCUUCUCCCGUACCGCCAGUUGACCGCUCGUCCCCCAAGAACAUGUCUACGGGGAUGGCCUCUGUACCACUACUGCAGCCUACUAGCAACACAACCCAAGGUCAGAGAAUGCCCUGCACAUUAUAUGGCUGCUAUCGUGUCUACACGGACACAGACAGCUUGGCCAAACACAUCAAGGACCAUCAGAAUCACGUCCCCACGCAGUCCCUCCCAGGUAAAGUGUUCCUCUGCUCCUCUAUCGGCUGCAGCGGCUCCUUUCCCAGCAUGCAGCAUCUGAUGGAACAUAUGAGACAGCACCACAAACCCAACACGUACUUCCUGUGUCAGAGUUGUCGGUCCAAGCUGCGUUCCUACCGCGCCCUCCUCAAACACCUCCACACCUGCGCUAAGGUAGCCAAGAGCAAGGCCAAGGCUGGCGAGCAGGCAGAGGUCAAGCCUGACCCUGACCCCGAUGCUGCUGUUCCCAUGGCUACAGACCAGGAGACCCCACAGCAGCAGGAACCCAUGGAGUCGGAACCCUCCCAUCCUGUCCCUGGGUCCACUGGGUCUGACCAUCUCUCUGCCCUGGCUCCCUCCCCCUACCAGCCCCCAGAGGAUGGAUCUCUCCUCGGCCUGGACCUCAAGUCGGCCCUGCUCCCUGGGGCUUUCUCCAUCCAGGAGGGAGGUGGUGGGGGAUUGUCAGCCACCCAGCCCCCAAGCCUCACAGACCAGCUCCCCGAGGGAUCCUAUGGUUCCUUUUCACAGUACCUUCAAUCUCCACUGGAUGUUUCUGGACCGGAGCAGCAACAGCAGAGGCCUCCCAGGCCCGUCCCUUCUGCUCUACCUUCCUCUCCGCCACCCCAGACCUCCGCCCCGCCCGGUUCGAACGCUCGCUGGAGGAAGAACCAAGACGCUCCGGGGUCUCUAAGUCACAGAUGGACCUCUCCUCCAGCCAGUCACAGGUUAACUAGAGAUGGAGCGCAGGUCAGUCCUUCAACGGCCGUAUUCUAUGGAAACACACCAGGGGGCGCUACAGCUGUGUCCAGUGUGGCCACUCCACCCCAAACAGGAAGGAGAUGACUGCCCACAUCAAGGGCAAACACAAGAGCCCUGCUGCAAAGCCUGGUAACGACACAGGCGACCAUGUGCCCUCUUCACAGACUAAAGUGUCUCCUGAUACAGAGGCUAGCACCUACACCUGUCUCUGACUCGACGCCCACACAAGAGGAAAACGGCAGAGGACAGUUAAAUAAUAUGGUGUUAGUGGAACUAGUUUCAUCACUUUUAUUUUCCUGUGAGUGAUUCAUUUCAAUAAACAUAAUUAACUUGGUAAAUGGUA